GCAUAUGAGGGCAAUCUGGCUGAAACAUCUUCUGCCCCAUUAAUUCCAGGGUUUAUUUGGUGAUCUGGUGAUCUGGCUGGCUAGGAAGGUGUUCCCUUCUUUCUCACUGUUUCGUGUAUGUUGAUGACUGACAGAGGAGAACUGGUCUUCUAUUUUUGGUUGU
rnacentral:snRNA from 1 species